rnacentral:rRNA from 1 species
AAGCGGAGGAAAAGAAACCAACAGGGAUUGCCUCAGUAACGGCGAGUGAAGCGGCAACAGCUCAAAUUUGAAAUCUGGCCCUUUCAGGGUCCGAGUUGUAAUUUGUAGAGGGUGCUUUGGCGUUGGCCGUGGUCUAAGUUCCUUGGAACAGGACGUCACAGAGGGUGAGAAUCCCGUACGUGGCCGCCGGUCUUCGCCGUGUAAAGCCCCUUCGACGAGUCGAGUUGUUUGGGAAUGCAGCUCUAAAUGGGAGAUAAAUUUCUUCUAAAGCUAAAUAUUGGCCAGAGACCGAUAGCGCACAAGUAGAGUGAUCGAAAGAUGAAAAGCACUUUGGAAAGAGAGUCAAAAAGCACGUGAAAUUGUUGAAAGGGAAGCGCUUGCAGCCAGACGUGCCCGCAGUUGCUCACCUGGGCUCUCGCCCGGGGCAUUCUUCUGCGGGCAGGCCAGCAUCAGUUCGGGCGGUUGGAUAAAGGCCUCUAUCACGUAUCUUCCUUCGGGAUGACCUUAUAGGGGAGGCGCAACACGGCCAGCCUGAACUGAGGACCGCGCAUCAGCUAGGAUGCUGGCGUAAUGGCUGUAAGCGGCCCGUCUUGAAACACGGACCAAGGAGUCUAACAUCUAUGCGAGUGUUUGGGUGUAAAGCCCGGGCGCGCAAUGAAAGUGAACGGAGGUGGGAACCCCUCGGGGUGCACCAUCGACCGAUCCUGAAGUCUUCGGAUGGAUUUGAGUAAGAGCAUAGCUGUUGGGACCCGAAAGAUGGUGAACUAUGCCUGAAUAGGGUGAAGCCAGGGGAAACCCUGGUGGAGGCUCGCAGCGGUUCUGACGUGCAAAUCGAUCGUCAAAUUUGGGCAUAGGGGCGAAAGACUAAUC